AAAAGAAGUCUGAAAACUCUCAUCCAUGACGAAGUGUUUCUAGAACUUGAUUGAGGGGGUAGAGGGGAGGAGAAGGAAAUUAUGAGCACACAUUUAAUCCCCACUUCAUGCUGCACAGGGCCAGAGACAUAAAUUUAGGCCACCACAGAGAUGUGGUGGGAAACAUUAGAGUUUUAAACAGAUGCUAAAGGUCAAUCCAUUCAGGAAAUUUAUGGAAAAUUUGAUAAUACUGAACUACCCCAACCAGUCCCUCAUGUUUGGGUCAAAUUUCAAUUAUUGAGAGACCUUUAUGUCAGGGGAAAAUAAUUUCCAGCAUUGAUAGCAUAUUCCCUGUCAACAUAAAUCAGGAAAAACUAGAUAUAGAUGCAUCCAUCUGCACUUCCCAGGUCUGCAGUUAGAAAUCUCUGCGUGUAUCUUACUCUACUUAAAUGGAUUAAGAAAUGUCCUUGAUCCUCCUGUCCAACCAUGUUAGUUUUACUUGCUCUCUGGACAUUUGACAGAAGACUGUACACUUCUGUCCUUCUGCAAAACGUCUUACUUCUGUAAUGGAAUUAUGCAAGGUUUGCUUCAGGUCUGUAAGUCAGAUAUUUUUUGAACAGAAAAAACGUAGCCUCCCUGAUAGCCUAAUUUGCACAGAGCUCAAUGACAUGCAGCUUUCUUGGUUUCUCUUCCUUCUUUUCCCCAGGUCCUGAACAGUUUUAUUUCAUGAAAGAAUCAGAAAAGGAAGGGUGCAGCUCAUGGAUACAGAAAUUCAUGCAGAGAUUUGGUAUACUCAACCACAGUUCCAGUCCCACCUUCCUUGCCGGGGGAAGUUUUCUCAGAUCAGCAUGGGAUGGAGCCACCCAAGCAGGACUGCUGUCUAAUAGGAGGACAACCCAGAGCAGAGGACACCCCAUGGAAGGUCAAGAAGAGACCUCUUCAGCCAGAGCACAUCUCCAAGUACCUAAGCAAGGCAAGUGAUGCAACACUGGAGAUGGAAACCAGAUCCCACCAAGCACUGAGAACAUAAUGCAAUAUUAGGGUCACAAAGAGGUCAAGAUGGAGGUCAACCCACAGGUGGAGGUCUGGCUCAAGGCAGGCUGGGGACUCACCAGGUACAGCUGUGGCAGGGACCAGCUGCCCCCAGGCUGAGCUCAGGUGGCCCUGGGUGUGGGGGGACACAGGUGAGGCAGUCAGGGUCAUUGAAACUUAUUAAUGCACUCAGGACUCUGACAGAAUGUUUCACAGGGUCAAAAAAAAAAAAAAAAAAAAAAAAGGGAUUUGCAAGCAUUACACUGAUAUGAAGUAUGAUAUGGUACCUACGUAUUAUAUUAUUAUGGGGGUAGAUCCCUCCAUAUACUACAGAAUAUGUUAACUCCUUUUCUAAAAAGGUCUUUUUCUGCAGAAGGGGAAUCGGAAGAUCUGUACAGACUCAGUUUUUGCCAAGGUGGUUGUGGGUAACUUGUGGGUGGUAUUUUGGCAAAGGAAAAUGCAUUUUGUUAGAGAUACAAAAUAUGUCAUGCUAUGACAUCUACCCAUACAAUGACAGAGGUUAAAGAUGGAAAAGUGUAUUAAUUCAGUUACUCCCCAUUUGGAUAUAAAAUUGUGGACAUAGUAAUCCAUAAGAAAUGAUGCUAAUACAUUUCACACAGGGUGAAUUUGUACAUUUUCUAGAAAAUGAUGGAGCAAGAUACCAUUCUUUGACUAGUAGAUAAAGAAACAUCAAAGUGGAAAUUUUUAGAAAAAAAACCUGAAAGUAGACUAAAAAUAUUUUCUCUAUUAGUUUUACCGAUAUUAACCAUUCACACUCUCCCAGUUACUGUCAACUGUUUUUUCAAAGAGGAACAAGAAUGUUGCCGUGUUUCUUUACAACAGUAAAUUACAUUAAUUCUGUAUCGCUUAAAUAUUCUCACAAACAAAUAUGAGAUGAAAAACUCCAAAUCAAUGAAUUAAAGAAUCUAUGAGAUAUUUACUGAUAAAU
ensembl:lncRNA